rnacentral:ncRNA from 1 species
CCGUAUUCUUUUUAAUGAAUUUAAAGUUUGAUUCUUUCUUUAAGAUUUGGAUUUAGAAUUAUUUUAUAUGUAAGAUUUUUCUUUUUUUCUAAAUGAGUUUCUAUUCAGUAUUUAAUUUUGGUUUUUAUUGAGAUAUAAAAUCAGAAUUUUUAUUAAUAACUGACAAAAAUUGUGCCAGCCGUCGCGGUUAUACAAUUAGUUAAAUCAAAUCUUUUUGAUUUAAUAUUAAUUUUGUUUUUUAUAAUUUUAGUUUUAAUUAUUAGGUGAAAUUUUAAUUAAUUAUAUUAUUAUAGGUGAAUGACUUAUAUAUGAAAAUUAUUAAUAAACUAGGAUUAGAUACCCUAUUAUUAUAAUUGUAAAUUUUUCUUAAUAUUAAUAGUUAUGUCCUUUAAAUUAAAAGAAUUUGGCGGUUAUUUAAUCUUUCUAGAGGAACCUGCCCUGUAAUUGAUAAUCCACGAUUGAUUUUACUUUAAUUUUGCUUAUAUAUCGCUGUCAUUGAAUGUUUUAUAAGAUUAUUUUCUCUUGUUUUUAUGAAUAUUAUGUUAGGUCAAGAUGUAGCUAUAUUAAAGAAGAGGUGGGUUACAUUUAUUUUAUUAAUGGAUUGAAAUUUGGAAUAUUUUUCAUUAAAUUGGAUUUAGGUGUAAUUUUUAUAAAAUAAUAAUUUUGAUUUUAGUUCUAAAUAAUGCACACAUCGCCCGUCACUCCCAUUAUGAGUUGGGAUAAGUCGUAACAAAGUAGGCCUACCGGAAGGUGGGCCUGGUUAGUUC